rnacentral:rRNA from 1 species
GGGAUUGCCCUAGUAACGGCGAGUGAAGCGGCAACAGCUCAAAUUUGAAAGCUAGCCUUCGGGUUCGCAUUGUAAUUUGUAGAGGAUGAUUUGGGGAAGCCGCCUGUCUAAGUUCCUUGGAACAGGACGUCAUAGAGGGUGAGAAUCCCGUAUGUGACAGGAAAUGGCACCCUAUGUAAAUCUCCUUCGACGAGUCGAGUUGUUUGGGAAUGCAGCUCUAAAUGGGAGGUAAAUUUCUUCUAAAGCUAAAUAUUGGCGAGAGACCGAUAGCGCACAAGUAGAGUGAUCGAAAGAUGAAAAGCACUUUGGAAAGAGAGUUAAAAAGCACGUGAAAUUGUUGAAAGGGAAGCGCUUGCAAUCAGACUUGUUUAAACUGUUCGGCCGGUCUUCUGACCGGUUUACUCAGUUUGGACAGGCCAGCAUCAGUUUCGGCGGCCGGAUAAAGGCUCUGGGAAUGUGGCCUCCACUUCGGUGGAGGUGUUAUAGCCCAGGGUGUAAUACGGCCAGCCGGGACUGAGGUCCGCGCUUCGGCUAGGAUGCUGGCGUAAUGGUUGUAA